UGGAGCGCUCUUGUGGUUGAAAAUUGCAAUGACAGUUUCCAUCACUAUCUACAAUCUGUGACACAACGUUUUGUUUAUGUUCUUACGGGAGAAUUCUUGGUUGGUCUUCAUCAAAAUCUGCUGUCCACAGCACUUCCACAGAUCUCAGUGGAGCUCUGAGAAUAUAGGACAACUUGAAUUCUCUUCAUAGAGUCUUUUCGAAUGUAGAGGUACUUAAAACAUUGCUAUUAAGCAUUGGGAGGUGAAGAUACCAGACAAGAAAAUAGCAGACAAUACUGAAGUGCUUCAUAAGGAUUUGAUCUGCAGGAACUCUUGUGUGGCUACAAUCUCCUACAGUAAAAGCUUUUAUUCACAACAGCUUAUGGAGUUGGACAAGUAGUUGUCAUUAUUGUACAAUCACUAUAAUGAUAGACUGAGGGCAAAAGAGAUUAAAACAGUUGUGUGAACUGUCUCAGCAAGUGAUGGUUCACAGGAGAGCCUUUAUCUGCACUUUCUGGAG